UAAAAAUUUCUUCAAAUAUUCUUUGGGUUGUGCUUCUAACCAUUUGUAUUAACGCUAACACUUCUAUCUAAUUCACUGUUUCUAUGAAGUUGCUUUUUAGUUUUGAUGUUGUAUUGUGAUGUAACUAUGGUUGUGUUGUAACAUCACUAUAGUGCAACGAUUUUCAUUUUUAGGAUAUUUUGAUGUCAUAAUAUGGUAUUAGUAUUCAUCUUAUGAUGUAAGAAUCACUCUUAACCACAUCACUUUGUUUUAUUGUGACAUUAUAUAUUGAUUCAUGACAUCAUAAUUUGAAAUCAGAUGCUUGGUGAGGCGUGGAAAUUCUUUUCAUAACUUACCCAUGUCUGUUUAAAUGAUUUACUUUGUUUCAUUGUGACAUCAUAUAUUGACUUAUGACAUCAUAAUUUGGGGGUAGGUGCUCGGUGAAGCGUGGGAAUUGUCAACAUCCCAGACUGCAAUUAACCAAACUGGUCGUAUCGACCAUUAUAAAGAUUUUCACACUGACUUGACACCACAAGGGGGAGGAUUUGGUCCGGUGCUUGAAAUAACGUAUUUUAUGGUUUGGGUAGUUUUGUCUAACAAUGUAUGACCUUCGACUAUAAAUUUGACCUCUAUAAAAUGACUUUCAACCCCAAUUCUGACCUCUACUGUGUGAAAUGACCUUCAACCUGAAAGUUGACCUCUAUAAAAUGACAUUUAACCCCAAAUUAUAAAAUCA